rnacentral:rRNA from 1 species
AGACGUAGGGGGCGAGCGUUGUCCGGAAUUAUUGGGCGUAAAGGGCGCGCAGGCGGUUAUUUAAGUCAGACGUGAAAGGUGGCGGCUCAACUGCCACAUUGCGUAUGAAACUGGGUAACUUGAGUGCAGCAGAGGGAAGUGGAAUUCCUAGUGUAGCGGUGAAAUGCGUAGAUAUUAGGAAGAACACCAGUGGCGAAGGCGGCUUUCUGGGCUGCAACUGACGCUGAGGCGCGAAAGCUGGGGGAGCGAACGGGAUUAGAUACCCCGGUAGUCCCAGCCGUAAACGAUGGACACUAGGUGUAGGAGGAACGACCCCUUCUGUGCCGCAGCAAACGCAAUAAGUGUCCCGCCUGGGGAAUACGGCCGCAAGGCUGAA